GUUACGUCCGGGGCAGGAGCGGGGGUAGUAGUGGGGGGGUGUGUGGUAGUCGGAAGUACGGUGCGGAAAGGGGGGGUAGGGUGUGUGGUAAGCGGGAGGUGAAAGCCCCGGGCUCAACCUGGGAACUGCAUGUCGAACUGGCAAGCUAGAGUACAGUAGAGGGUGGCGGAAUUUCCUGUGUAGCGGUGAAAUGCGUAGAGAUGGGAAGGAACAUCAGUGGCGAAGGCGGCCACCUGGACUGAUACUGACACUGAGGUGCGAAAGCGUGGGGAGCAAACAGGAUUAGAUACCCGAGUAGUC
rnacentral:rRNA from 1 species